GCCAAGGACUGGUGUGGUUGAACUCGGGAGGCUAAGGCAGGAGGAUCAUUUGGGCCCAGGAGCUGUGGGCUGUAAUGUGCUAUGUCUAUCAUGUGUCUGCACUAGGUUUGGGAUCAGUGUGGUGGCCCCAAGGAAGCGGGGGACCACGGGUUGCCUAAGGAGGAGUGAAUAGGCUCAGGUGGGAAAGGGAGCAGUCAGAACCCCCUGCUGAUCAGUAGUAGGGUUGCACCUGUGAACCACCACUGCACUCCAGCCUGAAUUUAAAAAAAAAAAGAUGGCAU
rnacentral:SRP_RNA from 1 species